rnacentral:rRNA from 1 species
AGAUUAAGUUAUUAAGGGCGCACGGUGGAUGCCUUGGCACUAGAAGCCGAUGAAGGACGUUACUAACGACGAUAUGCUUUGGGGAGCUGUAAGUAAGCUUUGAUCCAGAGAUUUCCGAAUGGGGAAACCCAGCAUGAGUUAUGUCAUGUUAUCGAUAUGUGAAUACAUAGCAUAUCAGAAGGCACACCCGGAGAACUGAAACAUCUUAGUACCCGGAGGAAGAGAAAGAAAAUUCGAUUCCCUUAGUAGCGGCGAGCGAAACGGGAAGAGCCCAAACCAAAAAGCUUGCUUGUUGGGGUUGUAGGACACUCUAUACGGAGUUACAAAGGACGACAUUAGACGAAUCAUCUGGAAAGAUGAAUCAAAGAAGGUAAUAAUCCUGUAGUCGAAAAUGUUGUCUCUCUUGAGUGGAUCCUGAGUACGACGGAGCACGUGAAAUUCCGUCGGAAUCUGGGAGGACCAUCUCCUAAGGCUAAAUACUCUCUAGUGACCGAUAGUGAACCAGUACCGUGAGGGAAAGGUGAAAAGCACCCCGGAAGGGGAGUGAAAUAGAACCUGAAACCGUGUGCUUACAAGUAGUCAGAGCCCGUUAAUGGGUGAUGGCGUGCCUUUUGUAGAAUGAACCGGCGAGUUACGAUUUGAUGCAAGGUUAAGCAGUAAAUGUGGAGCCGUAGCGAAAGCGAGUCUGAAU